rnacentral:rRNA from 1 species
UGAACGCUAGCGACAGGCCUAACACAUGCAAGUCGAGGGGCAGCAUAAAGGUAGCAAUACUUUGGUGGCGACCGGCGCACGGGUGAGUAACACGUAUACAACCUGCCUGUAAGAGGGGAAUAACCCGUUGAAAGACGGACUAACACCGCAUAAUACUUAUAUACUGCAUGGUAAAUAAGUUAAACAUUUAUGGCUUACAGAUGGGCAUGCGCAUGAUUAGCUAGUUGGAGAGGUAACGGCUCCCCAAGGCAACGAUCAUUAGGGGUUCUGAGAGGAAGGUCCCCCACACUGGUACUGAGACACGGACCAGACUCCUACGGGAGGCAGCAGUGAGGAAUAUUGGUCAAUGGACGAGAGUCUGAACCAGCCAAGUCGCGUGCAGGAAGAAUGUCCUAUGGAUUGUAAACUGCUUUUGCAGGGGAAUAAAGUGAGCCACGUGUGGUUUUUUGUAUGUACUCUGCGAAUAAGGAUCGGCUAACUCCGUGCCAGCAGCCGCGGUAAUACGGAGGAUCCGAGCGUUAUCCGGAUUUAUUGGGUUUAAAGGGUGCGUAGGCGGGAUAAUAAGUCAGUGGUGAAAGUUUGCAGCUUAACUGUAAAAUUGCCGUUGAAACUGUUAUUCUUGAGAGUAGAUAAGGUAGGCGGAAUGUGUUGUGUAGCGGUGAAAUGCAUAGAUAUAACACAGAACCCCGAUUGCGAAGGCAGCUUACCGGGCUACAUCUGACGCUGAUGCACGAAAGCGUGGGGAUCAAACAGGAUUAGAUACCCUGGUAGUCCACGCAGUAAACGAUGAAUACUAGCUGUAUGCGAUAUAGUGUAUGUGGCAAAGCGAAAGCAUUAAGUAUUCCACCUGGGGAGUACGUUCGCAAG